rnacentral:ncRNA from 1 species
AAGUGCCCACAAGGUGGGGUAAUAGGGAAUUAGGUGUAAAUCCUAAGCGAUCCGGUCACUGUAAAUGGUGAGCAGAGGCAUAAAAUGUCAUUGCAUGAAAGUGUGAGAAGGCAUGCUGCUGCGCAUGAGCCAUGAGCCAGGAAACCUGCUUAAUA